rnacentral:lncRNA from 1 species
GCUAGCUACAUCUGUAAACGCUAGCUGGUUAGCCAGGUUAGAUAUGUAGGUAAUGUAGAGAGAGCAGGUCAGUUAUAGAGGGGAAGGUAGUUAGCUAGUUAGCUACAUCUGUAAACGCUAGCUGGUUAGCCAGGUUAGAUAUGUAGGUAAUGUAGAGAGAGCAGGUCAGUUAUAGAGGGGAAGGUAGUUAGCUAGCUAGCUACAUCUGUAAACGCUAGCUGGUUAGCCAGGUUAGAUAUGUAGGUAAUGUAGAGAGAGCAGGUCAGUUAUAGAGAGGAAGGUAGUUAGCUAGCUAGCUACAUCUGUAAACGCUAGCUGGUUAGCCAGGUUAGAUAUGUAGGUAAUGUAGAGAGAGCAGGUCAGUUAUAGAGGGGAAGGUAGUUAGCAGGAAUAACUCCUGGUUUGUCUAGAAAGGACUAAAUGUUUAGGUCUGGUUAGGCCACCGUGUCAGAUAGUCGACUAAACAGUUGUUGUUUGUCCCGUCGGAUUAGCAUUCAGAUCAUGGCUAACCUAACUAAACUAACUAACUAACUAACUAACUAUUCCCGUUAGUUAA